CUUCAAGUCACACACGUCCAAUCGUAAAAGUAUUUUUUAAUUUCUGUUUUUUAUUGGCUCAUUUCGUGUAAUUUGCUGUGUAUAAAGUGAGGGCUGAUUUAAUAGAUCAGUCCUCAUGGUAAUGAACGUGGGGUGCAACAUCUAAAACCAACUCAAUAGUAUAGUAUACAAGUUAACAUAAGCUGCCCUUUGUCAACAAUAAAGUCCGCGCGUGGCCUGAGUCAGCGAAUCCACAUUCUCACGCUGGCAGCUAGCAGUCAACAUAAGCAGCACUUUGUCAACAACAAAGUCCGCGCGAGUUACGUCGACGUCGAUGCCAACCACUAUCGGCAUGACCGAUAUGAAUGCAACUGCAAUUCAUAAGAACUGCAACAAAGAAAUAAUGCCGACGUCAACGUUAACAACCUACCCCAAAACACUUAGAAUUAACUGGUCUACUUAAAUAUUUUCCCUUUUUUGUUACCGCAACAAUAUUGCGACCACACGAAAUAUGCAUAUCAUAUUUCGAAACAAACCAGGGCACUUACAUUGGAUCACAUUGCAUAUCCGCUGCACAUUUAAUAUGUUCAAACGAAUAUUGCGAUAGCAAUUAACGUCACAAUAAAUAGUGCAACAUAAAUAUUUGAGGGAAUGCAAUUGAUGUAAUGUGAGAAGUAGGCCACUUGACAAAUAUUGUCGCAACUACAAGUGGUUGCGCCAAAAUAAUAAUAAGAAAAGAAAUAAUGUAUUUUGUAUCAGAAAAUAGAACUUAGCUUAAGAAAAUAUUGGAAAUAAAUGAACAGAAGAAUUCUGACGGUUAAUCCGACAA